rnacentral:miRNA from 1 species
GGAGAAUUGCUUGAACCUGGGAGGUGGAGGUUGCAGUGAGCUGAGAUCACGCCACUGCACUCCAUCCAGCCUGGGCAAUAGAGU